rnacentral:lncRNA from 1 species
GCCAAGUCUUCCCACAUACAUAAUGAAAAUUGGAAGAACCCAAGUGCCCAUCUCUGGAUCAAUAUGUGAUGAUGAAAUUUAAUAACAUGCUACCUACAUUUAAGUCUAAGAAAGUCAAAAGUUUAUUAACCACAGUCAUUGUGUCCUAGAAGAAAAUACACAAAUAUUUUGUCACUUUAUGAGCCUAAUGACAAGACAUUAUCUCUAACCUCCAGAACAUUCAAAAUUGUGAUUGAGGAACACUAGGGCUGAAGAUGUGAAUUGGGUUUUCCAAAGUGAAGAGCAAACUGUGGGCAGGGCACACUGAUGUGUGGCUACAGUACCAGCUGAGGCAGGCAGGUUAUUGUUCCCAGAUGUAUGAAAGAAGACCCUGAGUACCAUAAUGAGAGCCUAUCUAAACUCUCAAAAAUUAAACACAUGAAAGAAAAUAAAUGAAUACUGAUCUCCAGAGAAAGCCCUCAA